CGGACGGGUGAGUAAUGUCUGGGAAACUGCCUGAUGGAGGGGGAUAACUACUGGAAACGGUAGCUAAUACCGCAUAACGUCGCAAGACCAAAGAGGGGGACCUUCGGGCCUCUUGCCAUCGGAUGUGCCCAGAUGGGAUUAGCUAGUAGGUGGGGUAACGGCUCACCUAGGCGACGAUCCCUAGCUGGUCUGAGAGGAUGACCAGCCGCACUGGAACUGAGACACGGUCCAG
rnacentral:rRNA from 1 species